AUCUGCAGUCGAGGGGCAGCACAGGUAGCAAUACUGGGUGGCGACCGGCAAACGGGUGCGGAACACGUACGUAACCUUCCUUUAAGUGGGAGAUAGCCCGAAGAAAUUCGGAUUAAUACCCCAUAAGAUUGUGGAGUGGCAUCACUCAGCAAUUAAAGAAAUUCGCUUAAAGAUGGGCGUGCGGCUGAUUAGGUAGUUGGUGAGGUAACGGCUCACCAAGCCAACGAUCAGUAACUGGCGUGAGAGCGCGACCAGUCACACGGGCACUGAGACACGGGCCCGACUCCUACGGGAGGCAGCAGUAAGGAAUAUUGGUCAAUGGACGCAAGUCUGAACCAGCCAUGCCGCGUGAAGGAUGAAGGUCCUCUGGAUUGUAAACUUCUUUUAUAUGGGAAGAAACCACUUUUUUCUAAAGGUGUUGACGGUACCAUAGGAAUAAGCACCGGCUAACUCCGUGCCAGCAGCCGCGGUAAUACGGAGGGUGCAAGCGUUAUCCGGAUUCACUGGGUUUAAAGGGUGCGUAGGCGGAUUAGUAAGUCCGUGGUGAAAUCUCCGAGCUUAACUCGGAAACUGCCGUGGAUACUAUUAAUCUUGAAUACUGUGGAGGUUAGCGGAAUAUGUCAUGUAGCGGUGAAAUGCAUAGAUAUGACAUAGAACACCAAUUGCGAAGGCAGCUGGCUACACAGAGAUUGACGCUGAGGCACGAAAGCGUGGGGAUCAAACAGGAUUAGAUACCCUGGUAGUCCACGCCCUAAACGAUGAUUACUCGACAUUUGCGAUAUACAGUAAGUGUCUGAGCGAAAGCAUUAAGUAAUCCACCUGGGAAGUACGACCGCAAGGUUGAAACUCAA
rnacentral:rRNA from 1 species